GCUCCCAUGGCGUAGUGGUCACUGCGCUCGCCUUGCACGCGGGAGACCCGGGUUCGAUUCCCGGCCGGGUCA
rnacentral:tRNA from 1 species